rnacentral:rRNA from 1 species
GAUGAACGCUGGCGGCGUGCCUAAUACAUGCAAGUCGAGCGAACGGACGAGAAGCUUGCUUCUCUGAUGUUAGCGGCGGACGGGUGAGUAACACGUGGAUAACCUACCUAUAAGACUGGGAUAACUUCGGGAAACCGGAGCUAAUACCGGAUAAUAUUUUGAACCGCAUGGUUCAAAAGUGAAAGACGGUCUUGCUGUCACUUAUAGAUGGAUCCGCGCUGCAUUAGCUAGUUGGUAAGGUAACGGCUUACCAAGGCAACGAUGCAUAGCCGACCUGAGAGGGUGAUCGGCCACACUGGAACUGAGACACGGUCCAGACUCCUACGGGAGGCAGCAGUAGGGAAUCUUCCGCAAUGGGCGAAAGCCUGACGGAGCAACGCCGAGUGAGUGAUGAAGGUGUUCGGAUCGUAAAACUCUGUUAUUAGGGAAGAACAUAUGUGUAAGUAACUGUGCACAUCUUGACGGUACCUAAUCAGAAAGCCACGGCUAACUACGUG